GAUGAACGCUGGCGGCGUGCCUAAUACAUGCAAGUCGAGCGAACGGACGAGAAGCUUGCUUCUCUGAUGUUAGCGGCGGACGGGUGAGUAACACGUGGAUAACCUACCUCUAAGACUGGGAUAACUUCGGGAAACCGGAGCUAAUACCGGAUAAUAUUUUGAACCGCAUGGUUCAAAAGUGAAAGACGGUCUUGCUGUCACUUAUAGCUGGAUCCGCGCUGCAUUAGCUAGUUGGUAAGGUAACGGCUUACCAAGGCAACGAUGCAUAGCCGACCUGAGAGGGUGAUCGGCCACACUGGAACUGAGAAACGGUCCAGACACCUACGGGAGGCAGCAGUAGGGAAUCUUCCGCAAGGGGCGAAAGCCGGACGGAGCAACGCCGCGUAAGGGAUGAAGGUCUUCGGAUCGUAAAACUCUGUUAUUAGGGAAGAACAUAUGUGUAAGUAACUGUGCACAUCUUGACGGUACCGAAUCAGAAAGCCACGGCUAACUACGUG
rnacentral:rRNA from 1 species